UAAGGACAAGGAAGGUUGUUUUUAACAACCCGACUAGGUUGGGCAAGUAUUUUAUAUUCCGCAUUCUAUUUCUU
rnacentral:misc_RNA from 1 species